rnacentral:rRNA from 1 species
UGGGGAAUAUUGGACAAUGGGCGAAAGCCUGAUCCAGCCAUGCCGCGUGAGUGAUGAAGGCCCUAGGGUUGUAAAGCUCUUUUGUGCGGGAAGAUAAUGACGGUACCGCAAGAAUAAGCCCCGGCUAACUUCGUGCCAGCAGCCGCGGUAAUACGAAGGGGGCUAGCGUUGCUCGGAAUCACUGGGCGUAAAGGGUGCGUAGGCGGGUUUCUAAGUCAGAGGUGAAAGCCUGGAGCUCAACUCCAGAACUGCCUUUGAUACUGGAAGUCUUGAGUUCGGGAGAGGUGAGUGGAACUGCGAGUGUAGAGGUGAAAUUCGUAGAUAUUCGCAAGAACACCAGUGGCGAAGGCGGCUCACUGGCCCGAUACUGACGCUGAGGCACGAAAGCGUGGGGAGCAAAC